UUUAAAUAAUUUAAUAAAAAUAUUGAUUUGUGGGAUCAAAAAUGUAAUUGAUUUACUUUAAAUU
rnacentral:tRNA from 1 species